GCCAGUGUGGCAUGGUGGUUUGAGCACUGGACUAUGACUAUGGAGACCAGGGUUCAAAUCCCUGCUCAGACA
rnacentral:tRNA from 1 species